rnacentral:rRNA from 1 species
UCAAGUGAAUAAGCGCAUACGGUGGAUGCCUUGGCGAUGAGAGGCGACGAAGGACGUGAUAGCCUGCGAAAAGCUUCGGGGAGGCGGCAAAUAGCCUGUGAUCCGGAGAUGUCCGAAUGGGGAAACCCACCCGACCUGUCGGGUACCGCACACUGAAUACAUAGGUCUGCGGGGCGAACCCGGGGAACUGAAACAUCUCAGUACCCGGAGGAAAAGAAAUCAACCGAGAUUCCCUUAGUAGUGGCGAGCGAACGGGGAGCAGCCCUUAAGUCGUAUAGUUCCUAGUGGAAGCGUCUGGAAAGUCGCACCAUAGGGGUGAUAGUCCCGUACACGAAAGGGGCUAUACGAUGAAAUCGAGUAAGGCGGGGCACGUGAAACCCUGUCUGAACAUGGGGGACCAUCCUCCAAGGCUAAAUACUACUCAUCGACCGAUAGUGAACCAGUACCGUGAGGGAAAGGCGAAAAGAACCGGGGUGACCGGAGUGAAAUAGAACCUGAAACCGUAUGCGUACAAGCAGUGGGAGCCCCUCGUGGGGUGACUGCGUACCUUUGUAUAAUGGGUCAGCGAGUUAUUUUCAGUGGCGAGCUUAACCGUGUAGGGGAGGCGUAGCGAAAGCGAGUCUUAAUAGGGCGCCAUAGUCGCUGGGAAUAGACCCGAAACCGGGCGAGCUAUCCAUGACCGGGCUGAAGGUGGGGUAACACCUACUGGAGGGCCGAACCGGGAUCUGUUGAAAAAGAUUCGGAUGAGUUGUGGAUAGGAGUGAAAGGCUAAACAAGCUCGGAGAUAGCUGGUUCUCCUCGAAAGCUAUUUAGGUAGCGCCUCGUGUGAUUACUCUCGGGGUAGAGCACUGUUUCGGCUAGGGGUCGUCUAGAUCUACCAAACCAAUGCAAACUCCGAAUACCGAUGAAGUACAGCACGGGAGACAGACGGCGGGUGAUAACGUUCGUCGUCAAAGGAAACAACCCAGACCGCCAGCUAAGGUCCCCAAGUCAUGGCUCAGUGGAAAACGAUGUGGGAAGGCACAGACAGCCAGGAGGUUGGCUUAGAAGCAGCCAUCCUUCAAAGAAAGCGUAAUAGCUCACUGGUCGAGUCGGCCUGCGCGGAAGAUUCAACGGGGCUAAGCCAUGCACCGAAGCUGCGGAUUCGGCCUUUGGCCGAGUGGUAGGGGAGCGUUCCGUAAGCCUGCGAAGGUGGAUCGUAAGGUCCGCUGGAGGUAUCGGAAGUGCGAAUGCUGACAUGAGUAACGACAAAGCGGGUGAAAAACCCGCUCGCCGAAAGCAAGGUUUCCUGCGCAACGCUAAUCGGCGCAGGGUUAGUCGGCACCUAAGGCGAGGCCGAAAGGCGUAGUCGAUGGAAAACGGGUUAAUAUUCCCGUACCCGUACCAACUGCGAUGGGGUGACGGAGAAGGCUAGGUCAGCCGGGUGUUGGAUGUCCCGGUUUAAGCAGGUAGGCGGAUCCCUUAGGCAAAUCCGGGGGUCAACGCCGAGAUGUGACGACGGCGCUGUAGCAAUACAGCCGAAGUGAUUGAUGCCAUGCUUCCAAGAAAAACCUCUAAGCUUCAGGUUGGAUCGGGCCGUACCAAAACCGACACAGGUGGGCAGGGUGAAAAUCCCAAGGCGCUUGAGAGAACUCGGGUGAAGGAACUAGGCAAAAUGGUACCGUAACUUCGGGAGAAGGUACGCCUUAAGUAAGUGAAGUCCCCGCGGAUGGAGCUGAACAAGGUUGCAAGAAAACGGUGGCUGCGACUGUUUAUUAAAAACACAGCACUCUGCAAACACGUAAGUGGACGUAUAGGGUGUGACGCCUGCCCGGUGCCGGAAGGUUAAUUGAUGGGGUCAGCGCAAGCGAAGCUCUUGAUCGAAGCCCCGGUAAACGGCGGCCGUAACUAUAACGGUCCUAAGGUAGCGAAAUUCCUUGUCGGGUAAGUUCCGACCUGCACGAAUGGCGUAACGAUGGCCACACUGUCUCCACCCGGGACUCAGUGAAAUUGAAUUGGCUGUGAAGAUGCAGUGUACCCGCGGCUAGACGGAAAGACCCCGUGAACCUUUACUAUAGCUUUGCACUGGACUUUGACUUCGCUUGUGUAGGAUAGGUGGGAGCCUGUGAAACCGGGACGCCAGUUCCGGCGGAGGCAACCUUGAAAUACCACCCUGGUGAAUUCGGAGUUCUAACCUGGAUCCGUUAUCCGGAUCGGGGACCGUGCAUGGUGGGUAGUUUGACUGGGGCGGUCUCCUCCCAAAGAGUAACGGAGGAGCACGAAGGUGCGCUCGGCACGGUCGGACAUCGUGCUAUGAGUGUAAGAGCAAAAGCGCGCUUGACUGCGAGACAUACAAGUCGAGCAGGUACGAAAGUAGGUUCUAGUGAUCCGGUGGUUCUGUAUGGAAGGGCCAUCGCUCAACGGAUAAAAGGUACUCCGGGGAUAACAGGCUGAUACCGCCCAAGAGUUCAUAUCGACGGCGGUGUUUGGCACCUCGAUGUCGGCUCAUCACAUCCUGGGGCUGUAGCCGGUCCCAAGGGUAUGGCUGUUCGCCAUUUAAAGUGGUACGCGAGCUGGGUUUAGAACGUCGUGAGACAGUUCGGUCCCUAUCUGCCGUGGGCGUUGGAGAUUUGAGGGAAGUUGCUCCUAGUACGAGAGGACCGGGUGAACGAACCUCUGGUGUUCCGGUUGUCACGCCAGUGGCACAGCCGGGUAGCUAUGUUCGGACAGGAUAACCGCUGAAAGCAUCUAAGCGGGAAGCCCCUCCCAAGAUGAGAUCUCCCUGGGACCUCGAGUCCCCCGAAGGGCCCUGGUAGACCACCAGGUUGAUAGGCUGGGUGUGGAAGUCCAGUAAUGGAUGAAGCUAACCAGUACUAAUUGCCCGUGAGGCUUGACCA